UGAGGAAUAUUGGACAAUGGGCGCAAGCCUGAUCCAGCCAUGCCGCGUGCAGGAUGAAGCAUCUAUGGUGUGUAAACUGCUUUUAUACGGGAAGAAACCCCGCCUCGUGAGGCGGACUGACGGUACCGUAAGAAUAAGGACCGGCUAACUCCGUGCCAGCAGCCGCGGUAAUACGGAGGGUCCAAGCGUUAUCCGGAAUCAUUGGGUUUAAAGGGUCCGUAGGCGGCCUGGUAAGUCAGUGGUGAAAGCCCAUCGCUCAACGGUGGAACGGCCAUUGAUACUGCCAGGCUUGAAUUUCCAGGAAGCAACUAGAAUAUGUAGUGUAGCGGUGAAAUGCUUAGAUAUUACAUGGAAUACCAAUUGCGAAGGCAGGUUGCUACUGGUGGAUUGACGCUGAUGGACGAAAGCGUGGGUAGCGAACAG
rnacentral:rRNA from 1 species